rnacentral:rRNA from 1 species
UACGUAGGGUGCGAGCGUUGUCCGGAAUUACUGGGCGUAAAGAGCUCGUAGGUGGUUUGUCGCGUUGUUCGUGAAAACCGGGGGCUUAACCCUCGGCGUGCGGGCGAUACGGGCAGACUGGAGUACUGCAGGGGAGACUGGAAUUCCUGGUGUAGCGGUGAAAUGCGCAGAUAUCGGGAGGAACACCAGUAGCGAAGGCGGCACUCUGGGCCGUGACUGACGCUGAGGAGCGAAAGCGUGGGUAGCAAACAGG